rnacentral:rRNA from 1 species
CCUACGGGAGGCAGCAGUGAGGAAUAUUGGUCAAUGGGCGUAAGCCUGAACCAGCCAAGUCGCGUGAGGGAUGAAGGUUCUAUGGAUCGUAAACCUCUUUUAUAAGGGAGUAAAGUGUGGGACGUGUCCUAUUUUGUAUGUACCUUAUGAAUAAGGAUCGGCUAACUCCGUGCCAGCAGCCGCGGUAAUACGGAGGAUCCGAGCGUUAUCCGGAUUUACUGGGUGUAAAGGGAGCGUAGACGGCGAGGCAAGUCUGAAGUGAAAGGCGGGGGCUCAACCCCAUCCAGCCGUUGAAACUGGGGAUCUAGAGUGUGCGAGAGGUAUGCGGAAUGCGUGGUGUAGCGGUGAAAUGCAUAGAUAUCACGCAGAACCCCGAUUGCGAAGGCAGCAUACCGGUGCACAACUGACGCUCAGGCACGAAAGCGUGGGUAUCGAACAGGAUUAGAUACCCCAGUAGUC